GAUGAACGCUGGCGGCGUGCCUAAUACAUGCAAGUCGAGCGAACAGACGAGGAGCUUGCUCCUCUGACGUUAGCGGCGGACGGGUGAGUAACACGUGGAUAACCUACCUAUAAGACUGGGAUAACUUCGGGAAACCGGAGCUAAUACCGGAUAAUAUAUUGAACCGCAUGGUUCAAUAGUGAAAGACGGUUUUGCUGUUACUUAUAGAUGGAUCCGCGCCGCAUUAGCUAGUUGGUAAGGUAACGGCUUACCAAGGCAACGAUGCGUAGCCGACCUGAGAGGGUGAUCGGCCACACUGGAACUGAGACACGGUCCAGACUCCUACGGGAGGCAGCAGUAGGGAAUCUUCCGCAAUGGGCGAAAGCCUGACGGAGCAACGCCGCGUGAGUGAUGAAGGUCUUCGGAUCGUAAAACUCUGUUAUUAGGGAAGAACAAAUGUGUAAGAAACUAUGCACGUCUUGACGGUACCUAAUCAGAAAGCCACGGCUAACUACGUG
rnacentral:rRNA from 1 species